rnacentral:piRNA from 1 species
CUGAUGAGUGCUAAAGGUGA